UAGGGAAUCUUCGGCAAUGGACGAAAGUCUGACCGAGCAACGCCGCGUGAGUGAAGAAGGUUUUCGGAUCGUAAAACUCUGUUGUUAGAGAAGAACAAGGACGUUAGUAACUGAACGUCCCCUGACGGUAUCUAACCAGAAAGCCACGGCUAACUACGUGCCAGCAGCCGCGGUAAUACGUAGGUGGCAAGCGUUGUCCGGAUUUAUUGGGCGUAAAGCGAGCGCAGGCGGUUUCUUAAGUCUGAUGUGAAAGCCCCCGGCUCAACCGGGGAGGGUCAUUGGAAACUGGGAGACUUGAGUGCAGAAGAGGAGAGUGGAAUUCCAUGUGUAGCGGUGAAAGGCGUAGAUAUAUGGAGGAACACCAGUGGCGAAGGCGGCUCUCUGGUCUGUAACUGACGCUGAGGGUCGAAAGCGUGGGGAGCAAACAGG
rnacentral:rRNA from 1 species